CUUCCGGUGCGUGAGGUGUGGUUCCGGGUCGUGGCGAGACUCGGGGCAACUGGGCUGCUGCUUUGCCGGCGGGCGGCGGCGAGCGGCCGGGGCAUGAGGGCGAGCCCGGAAAGCGGCAGCUGAGCCGGCCGGGAGGAGCGCCAGUCCCCGACGAUUCCGAGAGUUCGGGGCUGGGGCCGAGAGGCACCGAGGAGCCGGGCCCUCCCCCCAGGAACGUGUCCCGGGUCGCCCCGGCCGGUAGCGUGGCAGCACUUUCAGAUUAGGAAGACUCGGGAUAAAUUACACAGCUGGUACAAGACAGAGCCAGGAUUCAAGCCCAGGUGUGUCCGUGGAGAGUGUGAGAAGCCCUGUACUUGUACCAGGCUCCCUUUAACUGGACCUUGGCACAUGGUAGGUGAGCCUGUGAAACAAUAUGAAGAGGAGAAAAUAGCCUUUUAAGGAAAUUGGCCCACAGAAAGGAUGGCCUUCUUGGACAAUCCAACUAUCAUUCUAGCUCACAUUCGACAGUCACAUGUGACCAGUGAUGAUACAGGAAUGUGUGAGAUGGUUCUCAUUGAUCAUGAUGUUGACCUAGAGAAGAUUCAUCCUCCUUCAAUGACUGGAGACAGUGGGUCAGACAUUCAGGGAAGCAAUGGUGAGACUCAGGGCUAUGUAUAUGCCCAGUCAGUCGAUAUUACCUCAAGUUGGGACUUUGGUAUUAGAAGACGCUCAAAUACAGCUCAACGAUUAGAACGACUUCGAAAAGAGAGGCAAAACCAAAUCAAAUGCAAAAAUAUUCAGUGGAAAGAAAGAAAUUCUAAGCAAUCAGCCCAAGAGUUAAAGUCACUGUUUGAAAAAAAGUCCCUCAAA